GGAGGCCUUGGCUUAAAAUUAAAGCGUUUGAGUUGCAGUCAGAANAUGUAUUAUUAUACAGGCCUUC
rnacentral:tRNA from 1 species